rnacentral:rRNA from 1 species
AACGAACGCUGGCGGCAUGCCUAACACAUGCAAGUCGAACGAGACCUUCGGGUCUAGUGGCGCACGGGUGCGUAACGCGUGGGAACCUGCCCUUAGGUUCGGAAUAACUCCCCGAAAGGGGUGCUAAUACCGGAUAAUGUCUUCGGACCAAAGAUUUAUCGCCUUUGGAUGGGCCCGCGUUGGAUUAGCUAGUUGGUAGGGUAAAAGCCUACCAAGGCGACGAUCCAUAGCUGGUCUGUGAGGAUGAUCAGCCACACUGGGACUGAGACACGGCCCAGACUCCUACGGGAGGCAGCAGUGGGGAAUAUUGGACAAUGGGCGAAAGCCUGAUCCAGCAAUGCCGCGUGAGUGAUGAAGGCAUUAGGGUUGUAAAGCUCUUUUACCCGGGAUGAUAAUGACAGUACCGGGAGAAUAAGCUCCGGCUAACUCCGUG